AACGUAGGUCCCGAGCGUUAUCCGGAUUUACUGGGCGUAAAGCGUGUUCAGGCGGUCUAGCAAGUCGGGCAUGAAAUCUCUCGGCUCAACCGGGAGGGGUUGUCCGAUACUGCUGGGCUUGAGGGCAGCAGAGGGUGGUGGAAUUCCGGGUGUAGUGGUGAAAUGCGUAGAUAUCCGGAGGAACACCAGUGGCGAAGGCGGCUGCCUGGGCCUGGCCUGACGCUGAGGCGCGAAAGCGUGGGGAGCAAUCCGG
rnacentral:rRNA from 1 species